rnacentral:rRNA from 1 species
UGGGGAAUAUUGCACAAUGGGGGGAACCCUGAUGCAGCGACGCCGCGUGAGUGAAGAAGUAUUUCGGUACGUAAAGCUCUAUCAGCAGGGAAGAAAAAAGGACGGUACCUGAGUAAGAAGCCCCGGCUAACUACGUGCCAGCAGCCGCGGUAAUACGUAGGGGGCAAGCGUUAUCCGGAAUUACUGGGUGUAAAGGGAGCGUAGACGGCAAUGCAAGUCCGGAGUGGAAUGCGGCAGCUCAACUGCCGAACUGCUCUGGAAACUGUAUGGCUUGAGUGCAGGAGGGGUAAGCGGAAUUCCUGG